CAAACUAAAGUUGUUCUGUGUCCUUCCUGUCCUUCCAGAUGCAUUUCUCCCACCCACAGCAGAGUCUCUGCUUUGCAGGUGUGGUCCCUGGGUGUGGCUUUCCUGGCACGGGAUGAGGGCAGAGUCCAGUUUCCAAGUGUGCCCUAUGCUUGUGUGACACCAUCAAAUACCCAUCCAACUUAUCGUUAAGCUUAAACCACUCACCUAAUGUGGCACAGUGUGCUACGGACUGGAUGUUUUGUGCUCCUCCCCAAUUUACAUGGUACAGUCCUGGCCCCUGAUGUGGUGGCAUUUUGGAGGAGGGGCCUUUGGGAGCUACUUGGUCAAAAGGCUACAUUGGACCUAAUACUGAGUGUGACAGCAUCAAAAGCUGUGGCCCCAUGAAUGAGAUUAGUGCCUUUACAAAGAGGUUGAAGGAAGCACCCUCUUCCCUUCUCUUCCGUGUGAGGAUGCAGCAAGAAGGCACCAUCUUGGAACCCUCACCAGACAGUGAAUCUUCUGGUACCUUGAUCUUGGACUUCCCAGCCUCUGGGUCUGUGAGCAGUAAUUCUCUGUUGUUUAUAAUUAUCCCUCUUAAGGUAUUUUGUUAUAGCAACAGGGACAGACUAAGAUAGGAGGUAAUUAGAU
rnacentral:lncRNA from 1 species